AACCUUAUGGACCUGCGGGCGUAUACCUGCGGAGGGAUCAUUACACAAUACAAUAUGAAGGCUGUCCGCAGCUGGAGUAUUUUAUUACCCUUGUCUUUUGCGCACUUGUUGUUUCCUGGGCGGGUUCGCUCGCCACCAGGACCACCAAAUAAACCUUUUUUAUGCAGUUGCAAUCAGCGUCAGUACAAACAAUGUAAAUCAUUUACAACUUUUAACAACGGAUCUCAGAUCGGAAGAGCA
rnacentral:misc_RNA from 1 species